rnacentral:rRNA from 1 species
UACGUAGGGUGCAAGCGUUGUCCGGAAUUAUUGGGCGUAAAGAGCUCGUAGGCGGUCUGUUGCGUCCGCUGUGAAAACUCGGGGCUUAACCCCGAGCCUGCAGUGGAUACGGGCAGACUAGAGGUAGGUAGGGGAGAAUGGAAUUCCCGGUGUAGCGGUGAAAUGCGUAGAUAUCGAGAGGAACACCUGCGGCGAAGGCGGGUUGCUGGGCUGACACUGACGCUGAUGCGCGAAAGCCAGGGGAGCAAACGGG